rnacentral:rRNA from 1 species
UGUAAGCGUAUACCAAAGUUGUUGCAGUUAAAACGCUCGUAGUCGGAAUUUGGCAGUUCCGGAUGUGUGCACGUCGUGUGCGCACUUCGCGGGGAUUGCUUUUGUGGUCUUGCGUAGGAUGAGGCACUUUUAUUAGUGAACGUCCUCACGCAACCACUUUUUACUGUGAGAAAAUCAGAGUGCUCAAAGCAGGCAUUUGCCGUGAAUGUAUUAGCAUGGAAUAAUAGAAUAGGACUUGGUUCUAUUUUGUUGGUUUGUUGGGACAGAGUAAUGAUUAAGAGGGACAGUUGGGGGCAUUUGUAUUUCGGUGCUAGAGGUGAAAUUCUUAGAUUACCGAAAGACAAACUGCUGCGAAAGCGUCUGCCAAGGAUGUUUUCAUUGA